rnacentral:lncRNA from 1 species
CUUACAGUAUGUCUGCAGGAAAUGCAAAAGCCUCCUUAUGUUCUCAAGAUUUGCUCUGAAUGCAGUACAUGGGAGAGGAGGAAAUUGCAGUCGAUGUCAACAAUAUUGCCAAAAUUAGAGAAUCUUGCAAGCCUAACCAAGAAGAUCAAGACCACUUGUUUGACAGAAUUGCAGGUUUUGUGGCACAUUUUCUUCUUGUU